AAGUAUAUAUGGGGCGGCAGAGAACACCAGAGCCUCGCGGGUCACACAGGACACCGUGAGUAAGCCUGUAGAUGGCACCAAUCCACGACCAAUCUAUUGUUUACAGAAACAGUCAUUUUGGGUUGUGCUUCUUUAUGCAAGAUAUUUAACACCUUUGCUCAAAUUAAGUGGCACCCAUUAAAAAAAAAUAAUUAUAACAACUUGAACGAAUUUAUCUACAUGUCAUCAGAAGGUGUUUAGGCAGCUCCUCCUCCCUGCCAGAGCUGCUGGCUCCCCUAAUUCCAUUCCCACAUGGUAGCUCCUGGCUGUCUUACUAUCACCUUUACACUGGGCAUGUCUAACCCAGUGGAGCUGAGAUAGGACAGGCCUUGCUUCCUUACUGGUAUACUGGUUGGGCUCUCAGAGCUUUCUCCAGGUGGGGCCAAACUCUUAUUCAACAUGAAUAGCUGAACACUGAGAUAAGGAAACGUUGUAGCAAAUCUUAUUUCCUCACAGGACUAAGAAGGUCCAUAUUUUGGCCCUUCCUUGAAUUUACAGGGCCACAUUGGUACCUCAACCAUUGUCUCUUAAAGAAAUGGUUCUUUUCCUCUUCUUUUUUUUUGGAGUAAGUCCUCCUAGAAGAGGGUGUCUAGAAAGGAUGAUAUUUAGUUGUAGCUUAUUAUUAGCUAUUUAUUAAAAAUAAAACCAUGCAUGAUUUCUGGGAGAGACAGCAAGCCCUUCUUCCUUCCAGGUUCUUUUGUAGUGUACUGACACGAUGAAAACAGUACACAGCUCAUUAGAGGCAUUCCUAUAUAUGCAUGCAACUCAUAAGGAACAUCCUCAGUGAUACUAAGUGGAUAUAAAAUUGUCUGUAAGAAGUGAAUAAACAUUUAGGAAUGCUCAAGUGCUUCUCAUAAAGGUUGUGAAGGAUUCAGUACUUAACAUGGUACUUUAUACAUAGUAGAAACUCAAGAUAUGUGAGUUGAAUCGAGUAGAGGUGUCUAAUAUGAUGCACCUAUUUUAAAUUCCUAGUUACAAGAAACAGAAAAUCACCAUACUCCCAGUAACCAAUAACAUAAUACAGACAUGAAGUGCUUGUGUUACUUCCUCCUAACUCAUCUAAUUCAUAUGACAUAAUUCUAUGUUUACCUUAAGGCUUAACAGAGAAGAACACUUGGCACAUAACAGACCCCAAAUAAAUGUUGUUGACUAAUAAAUGUUUCAGAGAAAAAUAUGAAAUGUUGGAAUAAACUGAAAUGGAUGAACUAAAAAUAAUUACAGAAAAAUUCGGAGUAGAUUAUUGAAUGAAAAACAUUUCAUAGUAAACAUUUUAUACAAGCAUCUGAAAAUCAAAGUAUCAAAAUCCCUGUCUGUACUAACAAUAUCUGAGGUAGUGGGGGAAAAAAAAAAAAAAAAAAAGCAGGGGGAGGGGGGGACAGACAUAAUAAUUUCCUGCUCCUGAACUUAAGCAAAAAUUGCAGUACUAAGAACAAGAAGGGUGGGUGCAGUGGUUCACGUCUGUAAUCCAGCACUUUGGGAGGCCAAGGAGAGAGGAUUGUUUGAGCCCAGGAAUUCAGUACCAUACUGGGAAACAUGGCAAAACCUACAAAAAGUACCAAAAACGUAGGCAGGUAUGGUGGCUCAUGCCUGCAGUCCGAGCUACUUGGUAGGCUGAGGUGAGAGGAUACUUGAGCCUGGGGAGGUAGAGGCUGCUGAGCUGUGAUCGUGCCGUGCCACUGCACUCCAGCCUGGCCAACAGAGACCUUGCCUCAAAAAAUAAAUAAAUAAAUGAAUAAAAAGUAAUAAGCAGAUCACAAUAAAACUAAACAUAUGUAAUUAGUAGUGGUUUUUUGUUUUUUGUUUUUUUUUUUUUUAAGAGAUUGGGUCUCACUCUGUCAUCCAGGCUGGAGUACAGUGGUGUAAUCACAGCUCACUGCAGCCUCAACCUCCUGUGCUCAAGCAAUUCUCCUGCCUGCCUUAGCAGCCUUCUUAGGAGUGCGCCACCACGCCCAGUUGAUUUUUUUUUUUUCUUGUAGAGAUGGGGUCUCACUGUGUUGCCCAUGCUGGUCUCAAAACUCCUGGCCUCAAGUGAUCCUCCCACCUCAGCCUCCCAAAGUGCUGGGAUUACAGGCAUGAGCCACCAUGCCUGGCCUAGUAGUAUUAAUUUUGUGGGCAAUAAAGUUCUGUUUCAAAUGACAGAGAAGUCCAAAGUAAGACACUGUGUUUACUACCUUCAUUAAAUAUUAAAAACAAAUUUCUUUAAAUUUCUUUUAAAACAAGGAUUUGUAUAAAUGAAUCUGAAGUGUUCACUUUAAAAUUAAAGACAUAAGGGCAAAUUAAAAAAUUUUAACUAGUUUUCUUAAAGAAAAAUUAACACUUGGUAUCUUUAUUAAAAUUAAAGAAAUAAUGAGAGGCAAACAAAUUAUUAUGGGAAAAAAAUAGAAAAAUUCUGUGAUCAUGUUGAGCAAAAUCUCAAGAGGCAUUUGGGGAGUCAAAAUCAUGAGUAAAAUUUUGUGCACAGAAGUUCAAUAAUCACUUAAAUGUCGGUAAAAUGGAAAGUAUCAUUACAUCAUUAACUUUUAUUCACUUAAAAUAUUUUUGCUAUAAAUUCAUUUUAGCAGUGCAGCCAAAAUAUAUACACACUAUGCCAUAAAGAAAUCUUACCUUUUUAUCAUAUACAUCUUGCCAGUUUACUCCAGAGAAGAAACUGUGUCUCAUAAUUUCUUUUGCAUCAUCUGGUCCUCCACCAAGGCUAUGAGAACAGAAAUAAAAUUAAGCACAGUAGAUACCAGAUGCUCAGAGCAGAGCAGCCAUGGAGCUGCUGGGACCAAACCUUGCCUGACCUAGCCACCACCACACCCCAGACAUAUAAAUUUAAAUUUUACUGAUAUAAAGAAUGCAAAACACAAAAUUUACAAAGAUCAUAAAACAUACAAUGUUGUGUAUUGUAAAUUAGUCACCUGAUUCUCACAGAAAACUUGUUAAUUUCUGCUGUACGCCAAAGCCACUAAUGGAUGAAACUUACGAUUAGUUCCAACAUGAAUAUUGGUUGACAUUUUUGUUUAUGUUAAAGUCAAAGCUGAAAGUGAUACAAUGGAGACUUCAGAACUUCACUUGUCAGUUAUGUGAGUGAUUUCUUUGCUAAAUGUUUAGUAACUUUGGGAUGGUGGAAGAAGAUUCAUUUUUUGGUGCUAUUUACAAUGUAAUGAAUCUGCAUUAUUAAUAUUUUCUCUUAAGUCUAAACAGUCAACAAAACAGUAAGUGCAGCCCCAACUCAUAGUAUUUGCCAAUUCUGGCGGUAUAAAUUCUUCCACUGUGGCCAGUUUCGAGCUACCAAUAAGAUGUCACUGAACAUGUAGGCAGGAAGAGAUGCAUAGUAGCAAACCAUUAUAUAUUAUGUCCAAACAGAUACAGCAGACAUAACUAAUCUCAAAAAUACAGAUAACAGUGAAACAUAACAAAUUAAGGAGUAAUGACUUUUUAGUAUUUAUGACCUUUGAUUUUCCUAUUAUUAGUAAAUUUAUAUAAUUUUUAGUAAUGACUAUAAUAUACAACCAGCUCAUAAAAUUGGUGAAAAUUUAACAGUUGGUUCUUGAGAGCUGGUAUAUGCUAACUCCAAAACACCACUGGGUUGGAAGAAAACCAAAUACGUCAUAGAAAACAAAUACAGAUGCUCCUAAACUUAAUGAUGGGUUAUGUCUAGAUAAGCCCACAUUUCAACUUAAGAUGGUUUUAUCUGGAUGCAAUUCCAUCAUUAGUUGAGGAGCAUACUAAAUACGCAUCAGUUUCGCACCAUCAUAAAGUCAAAAAAUUGUCAAGCCAUCGUAGGUCAGAAAUCAUUUAUAAUUAUAUAAUUCUAAUGAAUUCUGGUUAUUAGAUCUAAGAAACACAUGACUGGGAAGGACCUAGUAUCCUUUGACACACAAUUAAAAUGGAAAACAGUCAACUGAUACCUGAAUAUCUUUAGUGAUGAUAAAUAAUUCCCACCAGCUGGGUCUCCAACUCCCAGAUCCUUAUAGAAUUCUCUAAAUGAACUAUACCCCAGAGAUGGCACUUUUAGGUUUGAUCAUAAUAGUGCUGUUCGAUGUUUGCAUUUGGAAUUUUCAGACUGGUAGUUCUGUGUUCAGUGAGAGCUCAGCAUUUCAGACCCUGCCCUCUUUUUCAUUCUAUUUCAGUUGUGUAGGUUUCUUUCCCAGGAGACUGCAAACUCCUUUGAAGGCAAGAUCAGUGCUGGAUUAUCCAAAAGGCAUUCUAAGCUUGUGCUUGGGGAACCAGAGAAGCAAAAGCACCAAAACACGUUUCUGAAAAGCAUUUAAUAUUUUCAAGCAUGCGUCAACAUAGUCUGCAUGAGAAACAUCAAAGCUCCAUGGCAUUUUCUUACACUUAUGUUGUAGUUUAUUUCAAUACUGUUUUCAUUUGAAUUGUACUUGAGAUGGGAGUUGGAGUGGAGAAUCAUAAUCAUUUUGUAAAUAAAAUGUUUUAAUCCAGCUUUAGUUAUCCAUUUUUGUAACUCCUCAAGUUUUCUAGCAAUACUUUGGUUUUGAACAUAGCCAGCAUUUAUUCUAUAUUUAUCAAAUACAUAUAAAACUAAAAUAUCAGCUAUGAAUACUAUGCAAAGUCUGAGAAUACAAUCAGACUUCCAUUUUAGAAGCUAGGAGAAAUUCUUUAACACACUUCUUCAAUGUGUGAAACUGUCAAAAAUUUCAGUGUCAAUGACUCUCUAAUAUACAAUUUAAGACUUCAAAAAUAAUAACAAAAUAUGCUUUGAAGUAAGAUAUUUAUGUCUAGAAUACUAAACUCCAGUAUCAGAAUGCCAGACUAAAUCCUCAGCUACUACAAAUUCCUUUACUAUUAGGAACAUCACAGAAUUCACAUUUUCCUAAUGUUACUGAAUACAUGAGGUCAUGCUUUUCCUAUCAACUCCGCAUAGGAAGAUAAAGGAGGGGCUAACAGAAUGAACAGAAAGGAUGGAGACUAAGAAAUAAAAGCAAAAUGAUAGUUGACCCUUGGAUAGAACUAACAGCAAUUCAAUAAGAAAUACCAGAAAAAUUCCAGUAGUAUUUAAAAUAGCUGCGUAGAAAAAAUGAAGAGGUGUAUUAUAAUGCUAUCAUUACUUAUGUUUCCAAAGGCUUUUCAAGGUCCUUGUUAGCUUUCUUUUCUUUCUCCCCCUGAAACUGAGGUUCCCUAAGAUUCUGUCCUAGGCCCUCUUCUCCUUAUCCACUACCCUUGCCACUACUGCCUUGGCUCUAGCUACCUCCUAGAUAUAGUUAUGGUUCCCAAUCCAUGUAGUCAGUUACUGUGUUUCUUUUAAGCAUUCAUUCUAUUAUUUCCAGCUGCUCACUUGACAUUUCCAUCUUGGUUUUAUAUAGAAACUUCAGACUCAGUGUACCCAAAGUUAUUAUCAACAUCUAGC
rnacentral:lncRNA from 10 species